UACGUAGGGUGCAGGCGUUAAUCGGAAUUACUGGGCGUAAAGCGUGCGCAGGCGGUUUCUUAAGUCAGAUGUGAAAGCCCCGGGCUUAACCUGGGAACUGCGUUUGAAACUGGGAGACUUGAGUGUGGCAGAGGGGGGUGGAAUUCCACGUGUAGCAGUGAAAUGCGCAGAUAUCAGGAGGAACACCGGUGGCGAAGGCGGGACUCUGGGCCGAUACUGACGCUGAGGAGCGAAAGCGUGGGGAGCAAACAGG
rnacentral:rRNA from 1 species